GAGCACGUAGGUGGGUUUGUAAGUCAGAUGUGAAAGCCUUCUGUUCAACGGAAGAAUUGCAUCUGAAACUGCGAGUCUUGAGUGUAGGAAGGGAGAAUGGAACUUCUGGUGGAGCGGUGAAAUGCGUAGAUAUCAGAAGGAACUCCGGCGGCGAAAGCGAUUCUCUGGCCUAUUACUGACACUCAGUGCGCGAAAGCUAGGGGAGCAAACGGGAUUAGAUACCCCGGUAGUCCUAGCCGUAAACGAUGGGCACUAAGUAGAGGGGUUUU
rnacentral:rRNA from 1 species